rnacentral:rRNA from 1 species
AACGAACGCUGGCGGCAUGCCUAACACAUGCAAGUCGAACGAGACCUUCGGGUCUAGUGGCGCACGGGUGCGUAACGCGUGGGAAUCUGCCCUUGGGUUCGGAAUAACAGCGAGAAAUUGCUGCUAAUACCGGAUGAUGACGUAAGUCCAAAGAUUUAUCGCCCAAGGAUGAGCCCGCGUAGGAUUAGCUAGUUGGUGAGGUAAAGGCUCACCAAGGCGACGAUCCUUAGCUGGUCUGAGAGGAUGAUCAGCCACACUGGGACUGAGACACGGCCCAGACUCCUACGGGAGGCAGCAGUGGGGAAUAUUGGACAAUGGGCGAAAGCCUGAUCCAGCAAUGCCGCGUGAGUGAUGAAGGCCUUAGGGUUGUAAAGCUCUUUUACCCGGGAUGAUAAUGACAGUACCGGGAGAAUAAGCU